ensembl:lncRNA
AAUGAGUGUGAUGGGAAUUUUAUUGAUCUGAAUGUUGUGUUUCCUCUCAUCAAAAGAGUGUAUGUGGUGACAGACUACUCUAUUGACUGACCACACCGAGGUCCUUGGCUGGUGUGUGUGUGUGUGACAGACAUAACACAACAAGACUGUACUCUUUUAUUAUUAUUACCAUUCACAACAACUAAAAUGCAACAACCUAUGGACUGUUUCCAUACAGAACAGUUUAAUGAGGCUUUCUUUGAGUUGCUAUUUUGUUGAUCUUAUUAUUUUCAUAAAAUUGCAGUGAGGUGUGGGAAUCUAACAAAUAACACACAUGACUCUCAUUAAGAUUUCCUAGUUUUCUGUUCAUCAAGGCUGAGCAAAACCCUCUCUGACCCCUGUGGAGGGCUAAAAGCCCCCUAAACAUGACCCAUUCCCAGGCCGAGAGUUCCUCUGUGACCCUGAGUAGCCUUUCAUGCAAACCCUUAACGUGAGAACCCUCACAGCUGCUGCGAUGAGAACCGCUUUUGCUUUUCCAACACACUGAUUCCGCCUCCAUUAGCAGCCCUGAGAUUGCUAAUACUUGAGAUACCAUCAAACAAGCUCAAGCUUGUUAGCUAAAUCCAAGGGUUCAACCACUCCUAAAGAUGCAGCGUUCAGAAUUGUUGAGGUUUGUGUCUUCAUUGUGCACGUGCCGGGGGUUAAUGACACAGGAGCCUGCUUGUGUGAGAAGGAGGCGAUUUUCUCAGCUCCUUCAGAAGAGAGGGAAAAACGGUUCAGUCAAGUAAUGUUCAUAAUUCCAUCACGUUAUUAUUAUUAUUAUUAUUGUUAUUAUUAUUAUCUUUUUACUAAGAGUAAAGGAAUGUUUGGUUUUGUAGAUGUUGAAAGCCAGAGGCAUAGGAGAGCAUUAUUCUUUUGAGACUGAAUUCAAGUGAUUUUUAGAAAAUAAAUGUUUCCAUUUUGAUACA